CUACGGGGUGCUCCAGUCGAGAAUCUUCCGCAAUGGACGAAAGUCUGACGGAGCGACGCCGCGUGCGGGAUGAAGGCCUUCGGGUUGUAAACCGCUGUCAGUGGGGAGGAAAUGCAUCAGGGUUCUCCCUGGUGUUUGACCGAUCCGCAGAGGAAGCGCAGGCUAAGUUCGUGCCAGCAGCCGCGGUAACACGAACUGCGCGAACGUUAUUCGGCAUCACGGGGCUUAAAGAGUUCGUAGGCGGCCCUUCAAGUCGGGUGUGAAAUCCCUCGGCUCAACCGAGGAAUUGCGCCUGAUACUGUUGGGCUUGAGGGGGAUAGGGGUGAGCGGAACUGAUGGUGGAGCGGUGAAAUGCGUUGAUAUCAUCAGGAACACCGGUGGCGAAGGCGGCUCACUGGAUCUCUUCUGACGCUGAGGAACGAAAGCUAGGGGAGCGAACGGGAUUAGAUACCCUUGUAGUC
rnacentral:rRNA from 1 species